rnacentral:rRNA from 1 species
UACAGAGGUCUCAAGCGUUGUUCGGAUUCAUUGGGCGUAAAGGGUGCGUAGGUGGCGGGGUAAGUCAGGUGUGAAAUCUCGGAGCUCAACUCCGAAACUGCACUUGAUACUGCCUUGCUCGAGUACUGGAGAGGAGAUUGGAAUUUACGGUGUAGCAGUGAAAUGCGUAGAGAUCGGGAGGAACACCAGUGGCGAAGGCGGCUACCUGGACCAGCAUUGACACUCAAGCACGAAAGCGUGGGGAGCAAACAGG